rnacentral:rRNA from 1 species
GACAGAGGGGGCAAGCGUUGCUCGGAAUUACUGGGCGUAAAGGGCGCGUAGGCGGGAUGGCAAGUCGGUCGUGAAAUCCCUCGGCUCAACUGAGGAUCGUCGAUCGAUACUGCCGUUCUUGAGGAUUGCAGAGGAGACUGGAAUUUCCGGUGUAGCGGUGAAAUGCGUAGAUAUCGGAAGGAACAUCAGUGGCGAAAGCGGCUACCUGGACAAUUGCUGACGCUCAGGCACGAAAGCGUGGGGAGCAAAAGGG